GAGCGGAGCUGGUUGAGCCUUCAAAGUCCUAAAACGCGCGGCCGUGGGUUCGGGGUUUAUUGAUUGAAUUCCGCCGGCGCGGGAGCCUCUGCAGAGAGAGAGCGCGAGAGAUGGACAUGGACAAACGGAUUCAUUUAGAGCUGCGGAACAGGACGCCCUCUGAUGUGAAAGAGCUUGUCCUGGACAACUGUCGGUCAAAUGAAGGCAAAAUCGAAGGCCUCACAGAUGAAUUUGAAGAACUGGAGUUCUUGAGUACAAUCAACGUAGGCCUCACCUCAGUCGCAAACUUACCAAAGUUAAACAAACUUAAGAAGCUUGAACUAAGCGAUAACAGAAUCUCAGGGGGCCUGGAAGUAUUGGCAGAAAAGUGUCCGAACCUCACGCAUCUAAAUUUAAGUGGCAACAAAAUUAAAGACCUCAGCACAAUAGAGCCACUGAAAAAGUUAGAAAACCUCAAGAGCUUAGACCUUUUCAAUUGCGAGGUGACCAACCUGAACGACUACCGAGAAAACGUGUUCAAGCUCCUUCCUCAGCUCACGUAUCUCGAUGGCUACGAUCGGGACGACAAGGAGGCCCCCGACUCGGACGCCGAGGGCUACGUGGAGGGCCUGGAGGAUGACGAGGAGGAUGAGGAUGAGGAAGAGUACGAUGAAGAUGCUCAGGUAGUGGAAGAUGAGGAGGACGAGGAGGAGGAGGAGGAAGGUGAAGAGGAGGAUGUGAGUGGAGAGGAAGAGGUGAGAGGUUGGGCUGGGCAGGGAACCGUCUCUCAGAGCCCCCCUCACCUACCCUGCUGCCUCUGAGUCAGUCCCACUAACUGCCUCAGUGAUCCGCCUCGGCAGCCGGGAGCCCUGGCUGGGAAUUGAACCCACUUCAGGGCCUGUUACUGGGUUGGUCUGGGAGAGGCAAGCCUUGCAGCUGGCCCUGGAAAAGAAAGAGGGAGGGGAUUCAUCUGCUGGGGCAAGCCUGGCACUUGUUUCCACAUGAAAAUUAGUUCCUGUAGAAUCCACAUCCCCUUUUUCUACCUCUUUGCAUUAGUAUGUUAAUUCAGAUAUUCAGUGAGCACUGACAGUGUGCUAGGGAAAAUCAAAGACUGCCUUGAACUGGUGGGUAAUAGGAUAAGACGCUGCUGGAUUCCACAUCAGAGGGUGACAAGGGUCCCCUGUACACAGUGGAUAGUGCCAUUAUCCAAACACUGUCUGGCAUCAUUUUUUAACAAGGUCUGGGAUGUGUCUGUGACGGGGUGGAUCCCAGCUUCUACCACUUGCUAGCUGGGUGUCCCUGGACAAGUUCCUUGACCUUCUGAACCUAUUUCCUCAUCUGUACAAUAGGUGUCAUUUUACAGCUGGGUUGUAAAUAGGGAUCAACUCACUGGCUUAAGAGGAUAAAGUAAUUUGUAAGUAAAAUGUUUAAGGACAAGGGAGUGUUUGCCCACUUACUAUUUUAGGCUUUCACACCCUUCUCCCAGGUCCUGGCUCUGUGUGCUGGGUUUUGUGUUUGGACGUUCUGAGUCUUUCUAUAGCAGAGUCAUUUUCCCUGGCUUUUUAGAUUUCUAAAUCAACUCUUGCUAAUUGCAAAACUUAGACCGAGAGAGGUUUAAAAUGAUGACAGCAUGGAUAAGGUACCUGCCUUCUCCCCCAGUUCCCUGUCUCUCUCCAUCAAGGGCACAGAUACCUGUCUGCCACACAGACCUGCUCAGGCGGGAUCUCCCAGCCAGCCCCCCACAAGCUGGGGAGAGGCAGGUCGGGGUUAGUGAGAAAACUGGUGAGAUAGGCCUGGUUCCCGUCAAGUUGUGCUGCUGGGUGUCUCUUCUACCCAGGUGUAGGCUGCUAGGCUCACCUCUGAAGAAUAUUGUGUAUUUUAAAAAUAGAGACCUAGCAGAAUAGGCCCCCCCCUAGGACAGGGCAGUAAGUCUUGCUGGCUAAUGGAUUUUUCGUCUUGCUCUUCCUGUCAGGAGCCGCCAACAUGUAGAGGUUGUUUUUGGUCUGGGGUCGGUUUUUUGUUGUGGUGGUGGUUUUAGUAAUCUCACUGAGUAUCUGCAAAUUUCCAGCUUCCAGUAAAGGAGCGCUCGCGCACACGCGCACACACACACACACACACACACACACACACUCUCUUAGCAAACAGACUGAUUAAGGAACUAUUUGGUGACAUUAUGAAAGGAUAUUUCCCUUGACAAAAAGAAGUCUAUUGCCAAGUUCUUAUUAAACAGUGGGCUGCCUGGUACUUUAGGAACAGUAUUCAUGCAGAGAUUCAACUAGCCUGGAUCUACCGGACCAGCGUGAAGCGUGGUCCUGUGUUGAGGGUGAAUUCACACCCCUUGCUGAAUCUCACGGAGCUGGGAGUGAUGUCCUGGGCAGGGGGUGAGAAUUGUAUUUUUCCUCCCUCCAAGUGACCCAAGUUUGCAAGACGGUGAAGGGGCUGCACUCACCCACAGACUGGGGUCUGGACUGGGGUCUUCUCUUGAAGCCAAAACUAGAGUGAGGACAGAUGAAAGCUCGGCCUACUUCACACGAUGGAGAGUCGGCUGGGAAACUUGUUCCCCUAGGAGGGCACACUGCGGAGCUGCCUGAGUUAUAGGGACUUCAGGAGGAUGAGGAAGGUUAUAACGAUGGGGAAGUAGACGAUGAGGAAGAUGAAGAGGAGCUUGGUG